rnacentral:rRNA from 1 species
AUGAUCUCACUGCUACGAUUAGUUACUACAUCAUUUCUAAUUCUUUAUGUCAAAUGUCAUAAAUUGAUCCUUCGCUUAUGUGUAUUAUUUUUAUCACUAAUUAUUUUUCAGGUACAAGGGCUACAAUAUCAUUUGGACAUUCUGAAAAGUGAAAAUUUAAUUAGUCCUAAUUGGAAAGACUUUGAUGUUAGUAAAUGGAAGAUAGUAGAACAACUACAGCAGCCAAUUCAAAAAGAUAGGUAUAAAGUGACACAUAUGUUCUGUAACAAUAUAAGUAAUAUUGUGAUCCAUUUAGAGUAA